UGCCUUAUAACUGUUUGUUGUUUCAUGG
rnacentral:piRNA from 1 species